rnacentral:rRNA from 1 species
GGGUUGUGAGGUUAAGCGACUAAGCGUACACGGUGGAUGCCCUGGCAGUCAGAGGCGAUGAAGGACGUGCUAAUCUGCGAUAAGCGUCGGUGAGGUGAUAUGAACCGUUAUAACCGGCGAUUUCCGAAUGGGGAAACCCAGUGUGUUUCGACACACUAUCAUUAACUGAAUCCAUAGGUUAAUGAGGCGAACCGGGGGAACUGAAACAUCUAAGUACCCCGAGGAAAAGAAAUCAACCGAGAUUCCCCCAGUAGCGGCGAGCGAACGGGGAGGAGCCCAGAGCCUGAAUCAGUGUGUGUGUUAGUGGAAGCGUCUGGAAAGGCGCGCGAUACAGGGUGACAGCCCCGUACACAAAAAUGCACAUAUUGUGAGCUCGAUGAGUAGGGCGGGACACGUGGUAUCCUGUCUGAAUAUGGGGGGACCAUCCUCCAAGGCUAAAUACUCCUGACUGACCGAUAGUGAACCAGUACCGUGAGGGAAAGGCGAAAAGAACCCCGGCGAGGGGAGUGAAAAAGAACCUGAAACCGUGUACGUACAAGCAGUGGGAGCCUCUUAAUGGGGUGACUGCGUACCUUUUGUAUAAUGGGUCAGCGACUUAUAUUCUGUAGCAAGGUUAACCGAAUAGGGGAGCCGAAGGGAAACCGAGUCUUAACUGGGCGUUAAGUUGCAGGGUAUAGACCCGAAACCCGGUGAUCUAGCCAUGGGCAGGUUGAAGGUUGGGUAACACUAACUGGAGGACCGAACCGACUAAUGUUGAAAAAUUAGCGGAUGACUUGUGGCUGGGGGUGAAAGGCCAAUCAAACCGGGAGAUAGCUGGUUCUCCCCGAAAGCUAUUUAGGUAGCGCCUCGUGAAUUCAUCUCCGGGGGUAGAGCACUGUUUCGGCAAGGGGGUCAUCCCGACUUACCAACCCGAUGCAAACUGCGAAUACCGGAGAAUGUUAUCACGGGAGACACACGGCGGGUGCUAACGUCCGUCGUGAAGAGGGAAACAACCCAGACCGCCAGCUAAGGUCCCAAAGUCAUGGUUAAGUGGGAAACGAUGUGGGAAGGCCCAGACAGCCAGGAUGUUGGCUUAGAAGCAGCCAUCAUUUAAAGAAAGCGUAAUAGCUCACUGGUCGAGUCGGCCUGCGCGGAAGAUGUAACGGGGCUAAACCAUGCACCGAAGCUGCGGCAGCGACGCUUAUGCGUUGUUGGGUAGGGGAGCGUUCUGUAAGCCUGUGAAGGUGGCCUGUGAGGGUUGCUGGAGGUAUCAGAAGUGCGAAUGCUGACAUAAGUAACGAUAAAGCGGGUGAAAAGCCCGCUCGCCGGAAGACCAAGGGUUCCUGUCCAACGUUAAUCGGGGCAGGGUGAGUCGACUCCUAAGGCGAGGCCGAAAGGCGUAGUCGAUGGGAAACAGGUUAAUAUUCCUGUACUUGGUGUUACUGCGAAGGGGGGACGGAGAAGGCUAUGUUGGCCGGGCGACGGUUGUCCCGGUUUAAGCGUGUAGGCUGGUUUUCCAGGCAAAUCCGGAAAACCAAGGCUGAGGCGUGAUGACGAGGCACUACGGUGCUGAAGUGACAAAUGCCCUGCUUCCAGGAAAAGCCUCUAAGCAUCAGGUAACAUCAAAUCGUACCCCAAACCGACACAGGUGGUCAGGUAGAGAAUACCAAGGCGCUUGAGAGAACUCGGGUGAAGGAACUAGGCAAAAUGGUGCCGUAACUUCGGGAGAAGGCACGCUGAUAUGUAGGUGAAGCGACUUGCUCGUGGAGCUGAAAUCAGUCGAAGAUACCAGCUGGCUGCAACUGUUUAUUAAAAACACAGCACUGUGCAAACACGAAAGUGGACGUAUACGGUGUGACGCCUGCCCGGUGCCGGAAGGUUAAUUGAUGGGGUUAGCGGUAACGCGAAGCUCUUGAUCGAAGCCCCGGUAAACGGCGGCCGUAACUAUAACGGUCCUAAGGUAGCGAAAUUCCUUGUCGGGUAAGUUCCGACCUGCACGAAUGGCGUAAUGAUGGCCAGGCUGUCUCCACCCGAGACUCAGUGAAAUUGAACUCGCUGUGAAGAUGCAGUGUACCCGCGGCAAGACGGAAAGACCCCGUGAACCUUUACUAUAGCUUGACACUGAACAUUGAGCCUUGAUGUGUAGGAUAGGUGGGAGGCUUUGAAGUGUGGACGCCAGUCUGCAUGGAGCCGACCUUGAAAUACCACCCUUUAAUGUUUGAUGUUCUAACGUUGGCCCCUGAUCGGGGUUGCGGACAGUGUCUGGUGGGUAGUUUGACUGGGGCGGUCUCCUCCUAAAGAGUAACGGAGGAGCACGAAGGUUGGCUAAUCCUGGUCGGACAUCAGGAGGUUAGUGCAAUGGCAUAAGCCAGCUUGACUGCGAGCGUGACGGCGCGAGCAGGUGCGAAAGCAGGUCAUAGUGAUCCGGUGGUUCUGAAUGGAAGGGCCAUCGCUCAACGGAUAAAAGGUACUCCGGGGAUAACAGGCUGAUACCGCCCAAGAGUUCAUAUCGACGGCGGUGUUUGGCACCUCGAUGUCGGCUCAUCACAUCCUGGGGCUGAAGUAGGUCCCAAGGGUAUGGCUGUUCGCCAUUUAAAGUGGUACGCGAGCUGGGUUUAGAACGUCGUGAGACAGUUCGGUCCCUAUCUGCCGUGGGCGCUGGAGAACUGAGGGGGGCUGCUCCUAGUACGAGAGGACCGGAGUGGACGCAUCACUGGUGUUCGGGUUGUCAUGCCAAUGGCACUGCCCGGUAGCUAAAUGCGGAAGAGAUAAGUGCUGAAAGCAUCUAAGCACGAAACUUGCCCCGAGAUGAGUUCUCCCUGAGACUUAGAGUCUCCUGAAGGAACGUUGAAGACGACGACGUUGAUAGGCCGGGUGUGUAAGCGCAGCGAUGCGUUGAGCUAACCGGUACUAAUGAACCGUGAGGCUUAACCUUACAACGCCGAAG